UAUUGUUGGUGUUCUUAACUCAAGAGAAAUGUUUUCAAUUAUUUAUUUAUUAAAUUUUGAAAACCCGGCUAAGUGAAUCAUAGAAUGUUAAGCACUACACCAUGACUUAAGAUUAGAUUUAAGGAGACCUAUUGAGAAUAGAAUUUCUUGUAGGCUUUGUGACCAGGGGGAUUAGCGCUGCUUUCCCAAGACAGGUUUAUAUGUGAUUAUGAUCUUCAGGCUUUGCCUAACCAGGUUGGCUGGCCGGUGCUGACGGGACGGAGCUGAGGCUAGCGAUAAAUUCCUAUGAUAGACUUCCGCUGUAGCAAUUACUCAUAUCAGUCUUUUGUUUUCCCAACUUAAGAUCUUCAUGUUAAAUUUCAAAUGAUAUACCUGACCGA